UAGAUAUACCAAGAUCGGCACAACGGCGAACGAUGUCGCCAUAAAUAAGUAUUCAAAAAUUAAUUCUCUAAACUGAAAAAUCUCAGAACUGUGCUUGAUUCUAACCCAAAUUUCAGGUACGCUAAAAAACCCUAGAUCUCGAAGGUUUCAUAUUUAUAUACUGAUUUAGUUCGUACAUAUAUAACUUGCGUGUGUUUGAGCGAGAGAGAAAGAUGGGGACAGAAAUUGAACAAAUUAAGGACGAUGGAUUGAAGGAAGGGGCAGGAAUUAAGCAAAGAAAAGACGAUGGAUUGAAGAAACUCGAAUACUUAUCCUUAGUUUCGAAGGUUUGCACCGAACUCGAGACCCAUCUUGGGUUUGGAGAUAAGGUUUUAGCGGAAUUUAUUACCGAGAUGGGUCGAAAAUGCGAAACAGUGGAUGAUUUUGAUGCUAAAUUGAAACAGAAUGGGGCGGAGAUGCCUGAUUAUUUUGUUAGAACUCUGCUUACGAUUAUUCACGCUAUUUUGCCACCGAAAAAGAAAGAGAAAUCGGAAAUUGGCUCAAAGGAGGGGGAGAAAUCGGGGUUUUCAGCCCUGAAAAUUAAGGACAGCAGGGAUAGGGUGAAGGAACUGGAGAGGGAGAUUGAAGAGGAAGCUAGGAAGCAGAUCCAUGGAGAGGAAAAAGAAGAGGGAAAGCAUAGGGACAGCCAUCGAGAUAGAAGAGAGAGGAGAAGGGACAGAGACAGAGACAGAGACAGAGACAGAGACAGAGAAAGAGAAAGAGAAAGAGAUAGAGAUAGGGGUAGAUACGAGGACAGGGAUGGUUACGGUGAUUAUAAUGAUAGAGGAAGGGACAGGGACAGGGACAGGGACAGGGGUAGAUAUGAGAGGAGCAAAAAGGAUGGAUAUGAGGAAGGGAGGGAGGAUGAGAGGAAGGAAAGGAGGAAAGAAAGUUAUAGUGGAUCGAAUGAACCCGAAUUGUACACGGUAUAUAAGGGGAGAGUUUCAAGGGUGAUGGAUACAGGCUGCUUUGUUCAACUUGAUGAAUUAAAAGGGAAGGAGGGUUUGGUACAUGUAUCCCAGAUUGCAACUAGGAGGAUUACAAAUGCCAAGGAUGUGGUGAAGCGAGACCAGGAGGUCUAUGUAAAGGUGAUCUCAGUCAGUGGGAAUAAAUUGAGUUUGUCAAUGAGGGAUGUGGAUCAGAAUAGUGGAAAGGAUUUAUUGCCGUUGAAGAGGAGUGGGGAGGACGAAGGGUUGAGAACGAAUCCUUCUGGUGGCAAUGGUGGGGGUACAGGGAGUAGGAUUGGUAUUUCAGGGAUUAAGAUUACGGAGGAGAAUGACAUUGUUCCAUCGCGACGUCCAUUGAAGAGGAUGAGCUCGCCUGAGAGAUGGGAGGCAAAGCAGCUGAUUGCUUCAGGUGUUAUGAGUGUGAAGGAGUAUCCGAUGUAUGAUGAAGAUGGGGAUGGAAUGCUCUAUCAGGAAGAAGGUGGUGCAGAAGAGGAGCUUGAGAUUGAAUUGAAUGAGGAUGAGCCGGCUUUCUUAAAUGGCCAGACUCGUUAUUCUGUCGAUAUGUCUCCUGUGAAGAUAUUCAAGAAUCCUGAGGGGUCUUUGAGUCGUGCGGCAGCACUUCAGUCUGCUCUGAUAAAGGAGAGGAGAGAAGUGAGAGAACAACAACAAAGAACAAUGCUGGAUUCGAUUCCGAAGGAUUUGAAUCGGCCUUGGGAAGACCCAAUGCCAGAGACUGGUGAGCGGCAUCUUGCUCAGGAGCUAAGGGGUGUUGGUUUGUCUGCAUAUGAUAUGCCAGAGUGGAAGAAGGAUGCAUAUGGUAAAGCCCUUACUUUUGGCCAACGAUCAAAGCUGUCCAUUCAGGAACAGAGGCAGAGCCUGCCAAUAUACAAGUUGAAGAAUGAACUAGUUCAAGCUGUUCAUGAAAAUCAAGUUCUAGUUGUCAUUGGUGAGACAGGUUCUGGAAAGACUACUCAGGUUACCCAGUAUCUAGCUGAGGCAGGGUACACAGCUAAAGGCAAAAUUGGAUGCACUCAACCUCGUAGAGUGGCUGCAAUGUCUGUUGCUAAGAGAGUUGCUGAGGAAUUUGGUUGUCGUUUAGGGGAAGAAGUUGGAUAUGCUAUUCGUUUUGAGGAUUGUACAGGGCCAGAGACUGUUAUCAAGUAUAUGACUGAUGGUAUGCUUCUCAGGGAAAUUCUGAUUGAUGAGAAUUUGACACAGUAUUCAGUGAUAAUGCUUGAUGAAGCUCAUGAGAGGACAAUUCACACUGAUGUUCUUUUUGGACUGCUAAAAAAACUUGUGAAACGGAGACCUGACCUCCGUCUGAUUGUUACGUCUGCAACGUUGGAUGCGGAGAAAUUUUCUGGCUAUUUCUUCAACUGCAACAUCUUCACCAUUCCUGGUAGAACUUUCCCUGUAGAAAUAUUGUACACCAAGCAGCCGGAGAGUGACUACCUUGAUGCAUCUCUUAUCACUGUCAUGCAGAUUCACUUGACAGAACCAGAAGGCGACAUCCUUCUCUUCUUGACUGGUCAAGAGGAGAUCGAUUAUGCAUGUCAAUGUCUCUAUGAAAGGAUGAAAGGUCUAGGCAAAAAUGUUCCUGAGCUGAUUAUCUUACCAGUGUACAGUGCCCUUCCCAGCGAAAUGCAAUCCAGAAUAUUUGAUCCUGCUCCUCCAGGGAAGAGAAAAGUAGUUGUUGCUACUAACAUUGCUGAAGCUUCUUUGACCAUUGAUGGUAUUUUUUAUGUUAUCGAUCCAGGGUUUGCAAAGCAAAAUGUCUACAAUCCUAAACAGGGACUUGAUUCACUGGUGAUUACUCCGAUAUCUCAAGCAUCAGCCAAGCAAAGAGCUGGGCGAGCAGGACGCACAGGGCCUGGAAAGUGCUAUCGCCUCUAUACUGAGAGUGCUUUCCAUAAUGAAAUGUCUCCCACCUCGAUUCCAGAGAUCCAGAGGAUCAAUCUUGGGAUGACUACCCUUACUAUGAAAGCUAUGGGUAUCAACGAUCUGUUAUCUUUUGACUUUAUGGACCCACCUUCUCCUCAAGCUCUCAUUUCUGCCAUGGAACAGCUGUACAGUUUAGGAGCUCUAGAUGAAGAGGGGCUUCUGACUAAGUUGGGUAGGAAAAUGGCUGAAUUUCCAUUGGAACCUCCACUAUCUAAGAUGCUUCUUGCCAGUGUAGAUCUCGGUUGUAGUGAUGAGAUUUUGACUAUGAUUGCAAUGAUUCAGACAGGAAACAUCUUUUACCGACCUAGGGAAAAACAAGCUCAAGCAGAUCAAAAAAGGGCAAAAUUUUUCCAGCCCGAGGGAGAUCAUCUGACACUACUUGCUGUUUAUGAGGCAUGGAAAGCAAAAAAUUUCUCGGGACCAUGGUGCUUUGAAAACUUUGUCCAGUCUCGAUCAUUGAGGAGGGCACAGGAUGUCAGGAAACAACUUCUCUCAAUCAUGGACAAGUACAAAUUGGACGUUGUCUCUGCUGGAAAAAUUUUUACAAAGAUAAGGAAGGCUAUUGCAGCAGGGUUCUUUUUCCAUGCAGCGAGGAAGGAUCCACAAGAAGGUUAUAGAACACUUGUUGAGAAUCAGCCAGUCUAUAUACAUCCAAGCAGUGCUCUCUUUCAAAGACAACCAGACUGGGUUAUUUACCAUGAGCUGGUUAUGACUACGAAGGAGUAUAUGCGUGAGGUCACAGUCGUAGAUCCCAAGUGGCUUGUUGAACUGGCACCAAGAUUCUUCAAGGUGGCAGAUCCUACAAAAAUGAGCAAGCGCAAGAGACAAGAGCGCAUUGAACCCCUAUAUGACAGAUACCACGAACCUAAUUCUUGGCGUUUGAGUAAACGGAGGGCUUAACAGCAUUCUGGACGGAAUCUGUCAGUUGGACUGCGGUUGUCUUUAAAUUGAAAGGUUUGGGACUGCGGCCUCAAAAAUGAAAGGUUAAGGUAUACUCUACAACAAAAUGAAAGGCGCUUGGGAUUUUUGUUGGAUUUCUGAUCUUUCGCAGCUUUUGAGCUGUUAUUGAAGGACUGCCUAGUUCUUUGAGGAGACGAGAGAUGGACCGGCUCCACUUGCUUCUUAGACACCGUCUUUUUUUAAUUGCCUAGUGUGCUCUGUUGAAUAAAGAUGUUGCAGUAAAUUAUUAUGUACCAAGAGAUGGCAAGAUGGACGGAUUAGAUCACAAGGAUUAUAACUAAUAAAUUCCAUAUCGUUUCAAAUUUUUCGGCCACAUCGUCA